UGGCAGUAUUGGAGGAGGAAAACUGAAGAGACUGAGCUUCUAGCAGUGGAUUGAGUUGAAUGAAACAAGCUAACUAGUAGGAGAGAAGCUGGCAUGAGCUGGAAACUGCAACAAGCUGGCUUAGGCGUUGUUUUGAAGCUGGAAGUGAAAGGAGGCUCACAGUGUUGAUAAGAGGAACUGAGGGGUAAGGAAGAAACCGUGAUCAAAUUGAUAAUGGAGAAGGGAGACGGUAGUGAAACGAUGAUGUCCCUCCUUGUUUCUAGGCUGGAUAUGUCUCUCAUUGGGAAGGGACUGGAUAUUUGCUUUCUGGUUCACUUUACUCCAUUUCUGGCUGCUCAGCAUGCCCCAGACAAUGAUGCAGAAGGUCAGUGAUGGUAAUGCAAGGAGUCAUUUGAGGAAUCUGAAGAGAGAACAGAAAGCUGAUGACAACUCUAAGAUACCUGACCUGCUCUAGGAUUACAAGAGCCCCCAUUCCUGUUACACGACAGAGGUCAGAAUUUACUGGCAUCAGCGGCAGCUGCUACAGAGAGCAAAG
ensembl:lncRNA